rnacentral:lncRNA from 1 species
AUGGAGAGAGACCUAAAAUUAGUUUCAGUAACAAAAUAUCAGAUACGAAAAUUGUCAGAUGUGCUACAACUAGAGUUAAUAUUAAGACCAGAGCAUCAGACUCAGUUUGACCAAGUCUUUGACAAUUAUCCUGACCAGGAGAAGACCGCUGAUCUUAGAAACAGGUAUCAGGCUUUGUAGUCUGCUGUGUUUUGUUUGUGUAGUUAGGUUUUACCUUAACUGUAGAUUUACCUUAUUGCAUGUGUGUAUUAUUGCUGUUGGAUAAUGUGAACAUUAUGAAUGCAUUUACAUCUGUGUUCUUACUCUCUGUAUACCACUUCCUAGAGAGGCAACCAUGUGCUGAAUUUAGCCAGUCCCGCAUUUUUCUAUACCUUAAGUCAAACUGGGCAAUGCUUCCCAUCUACCCACAGUGAAUAGGGGUCCUUUGAUUUAGAAUAGGUAGAGCUGACUGAAUUCUGAACAAACAAAUAUUUUGUGAGGAACAUUAUUUUUCAUUUUAAAUAUAAAUGCCUAAUACUGUGUAUUCAUUUACCCUUUAUAUCUCUGUACAUGCUUAUCUUUUGUUAAACCUUAGAGAAAUGACCCACCAUCAAUGAAAAGAAAGAAAGGCGUAGGCCAGGCGUGGUGGCUCACACCUGUAAUCCCAGCAAUUUAGAGGGCCGAGGCAGGCAGAUCACGAGGUUAGGAGUUCAAGACCAGCCUGUCUAACAUGGUGAAAUCCCGUCUCUACUAAAAAUACAAAAAUUAGCCAGAUGUGGUGGUGAGCGCCUGCAGUCCCAGCUACUCAGGAGGCUGAGGCAGGAGAAUUGCUUGAAUCUGGGAGGCGGAGGUUGCAGUGAGCUAAGAUCGUGCCACUGCACCCUAUACCUUAAAAUGGUAGAUUAUCUGUGGCCAUUUGAAAUUACUGAUUUGAAGUUCUUGAAGAUGCCGAGCCAUGUCUUACAUAGUUAUUUUAGAAUCUAAAAUUGUUCUGUAUUUACAUAAAGUUUCUAUUCUUUCUCUCCUUUAAACCCUGAAAGUGGUAGUUGCAAAGGAGGAGCCAGAUAUUUGGCAUGGCCUGACAAAAAUUAACUUGUCUUU